GAUGAACGCUGGCGGCGUGCCUAAUACAUGCAAGUCGAGCGAACAGACGAGGAGCUUGCUCCUCUGACGUUAGCGGCGGACGGGUGAGUAACACGUGGAUAACCUACCUAUAAGACUGGGAUAACUUCGGGAAACCGGCGCUAAUACCGGAUAAUAUAUUGAACCGCAUGGUUCAAUAGUGAAAUACGGUUUUGCUGUCACUUAUAGAUGGAUCCGCGCCGCAUUAGCUAGUUGGUAAUGUAACGGCUUACCAAGGGAACGAUGCGUAGCCGACCUGAGAGGGUGAUCGGCGACCCGGGAACUGGGACACGGUCCAGACGCCUACGAGAGGCAGCAGUAGGGAAUGUUCCGCAAUGGGCGAAAGCUUGACGGAGCAACGCCGCGUGAGUGAUGAAGGUCUUCGGAGCGUAAAACUCUGUUAUUAGUGAAGAACAAAUGUGUAAGGAACUAUGCACGGCUUGACGGUACCUAAUCAGAAAGCCACGGCUAACUACGUG
rnacentral:rRNA from 1 species